rnacentral:rRNA from 1 species
GGGUUGUGAGGUUAAGCGACUAAGCGUACACGGUGGAUGCCCUGGCAGUCAGAGGCGAUGAAGGACGUGCUAAUCUGCGAUAAGCGCCGGUAAGGUGAUAUGAACCGUUAUAACCGGCGAUUUCCGAAUGGGGAAACCCAGUGUGAUUCGUCACACUAUCAUUAACUGAAUCCAUAGGUUAAUGAGGCGAACCGGGGGAACUGAAACAUCUAAGUACCCCGAGGAAAAGAAAUCAACCGAGAUUCCCCCAGUAGCGGCGAGCGAACGGGGAGGAGCCCAGAGCCUGAAUCAGCAUGUGUGUUAGUGGAAGCGUCUGGAAAGGCGCGCGAUACAGGGUGACAGCCCCGUACACAAAAGCGCAUGUGCUGUGAGCUCGAUGAGUAGGGCGGGACACGUGGUAUCCUGUCUGAAUAUGGGGGGACCAUCCUCCAAGGCUAAAUACUCCUGACUGACCGAUAGUGAACCAGUACCGUGAGGGAAAGGCGAAAAGAACCCCGGCGAGGGGAGUGAAAAAGAACCUGAAACCGUGUACGUACAAGCAGUGGGAGCCCCACCACUAAGCCAGUGGUGAACUCCACAUACGCAUCCUUUGCUGAGGAUACGGUUAACGGAGCGAAAGCGACGUUCAACCUCAAAAGAAGCAGAGGGGGCUUAGUGGUGGGGUGACUGCGUACCUUUUGUAUAAUGGGUCAGCGACUUAUAUUCUGUAGCAAGGUUAACCGUAUAGGGGAGCCGGAGGGAAACCGAGUCUUAAU